CUGCCGGGGCUCGCUCACCAGUGCUGGAAUCGCCAGCGUCCAGGGGAGGUGGACCAAGCCCGGACCGGGGCUGUCAAGAACAAUCUGCACCUAGAGCCACCAGCGAGGAUCCCCCAGUCGCCUCCAGAGUCCGCGGGAAUGAGCGUGGCGGUUGUAGACGUGGUUCCGUAGGCUCCACCAGGGAAGAUGAGGAGUUCGGGGUUCCUACCAUAGAUAACCUGCUCCUCAUCCAACUGAUGGAGGCGCG